AACGAACGCUGGCGGCAUGCCUAACACAUGCAAGUCGAACGAGACCUUCGGGUCUAGUGGCGCACGGGUGCGUAACGCGUGGGAACCUGCCCUUAGGUUCGGAAUAACUCCCCGAAAGGGGUGCUAAUACCGGAUAAUGUCUUCGGACCAAAGAUUUAUCGCCUUUGGAUGGGCCCGCGUUGGAUUAGCUAGUUGGUAGGGUAAAAGCCUACCAAGGCGACGAUCCAUAGCUGGUCUGAGAGGAGGAUCAGCCACACUGGGACUGAGACACGGCCCAGACUCCUACGGGAAGCAGCAGUGGGGAAUAUUGGACAAUGGGCGAAAGCCUGAUCCAGCAAUGCCGCGUGAGUGAUGAAGGCCUUAGGGUUGUAAAGCUCUUUUACCCGGGAUGAUAAUGACAGUACCGGGAGAAUAAGCUCCGGCUAACUCCGUG
rnacentral:rRNA from 1 species